UNUGACUUGAGUGCAGAAGGGGAGAAUGGAAUUCCAUGUGUAGCGGUGAAAUGCGUAGAUAUAUGGAGGANCACCAGUGGCGAAAGCGGCUCUCUGNUCUGUCACUGACGCUGAGGCUCGAAAGCGUGGGUAGCGAACAGGAUUAGAUACCCUGGUAGUCCACGCCGUAAACGAUGAGUGCUAGGUGUUAGGCCCUUUCCGGGGCUUAGUGCCGGAGCUAACGCAAUAAGCACUCCGCCUGGGGAGUACGACCGCAAGGUUGAAACUCAAAGGAAUUGACGGGGGCCCGCACAAGCGGUGGAGCAUGUGGUUUAAUUCGAAGCAACGCGAAGAACCUUACCAGGUCUUGACAUCCCGAUGCUAUUCUUAGAGAUAGGAAGUUACUUCGGUACAUCGGAGACAGGUGGUGCAUGGUUGUCGUCAGCUCGUGUCGUGAGAUGUUGGGUUAAGUCCCGCAACGAGCGCAACCCUUAUUGUUAGUUGCCAUCAUUAAGUUGGGCACUCUAGCGAGACUGCCGGUAAUAAACCGGAGGAAGGUGGGGAUGACGUCAAAUCAUCAUGCCCCUUAUGACCUGGGCUACACACGUGCUACAAUGGUCGGUACAACGAGUUGCGAGCCGGUGACGGCAAGCUAAUCUCUGAAAGCCGAUCUCAGUUCGGAUUGGAGGCUGCAACUCGCCUCCAUGAAGUCGGAAUCGCUAGUAAUCGCGGAUCAGCACGCCGCGGUGAAUACGUUCCCGGGCCUUGUACACACCGCCCGUCACACCACGAGAGUUUGUAACACCCGAAGUCGGUGAGGUAACCUUUUAGGGGC
rnacentral:rRNA from 1 species